GUGGAUAUCCUCCCCUCUAAACCUAUCCACGUCAGUUAAUAUAUUCAGCCAAUCAGAGAGCAUUAUUAUGCUACGUCAUACGAAGUUUUAAGUCAACUAAUAUAAAAUCGGGCCAGGCGUUUGGGCCAUUAAUAAUAUCCAGUGCCAAUAUGAAGCCCACCUCAUCAAUACCAAAUCUCCAAUGAAAGUUAUUAAUUUAUUAUCGUGGCUGACUCUUCUUCUUCUUAGCUGUGUGAACGCUCACGGUCUAACUCCUCCUCUCAAUUGAUGAUUUUGAGAAACGUCUGCAAUUAUGACAUUCAAGGAGAGGGAUCGCCGUCGAUAGUAUCAACGGUGGAGAGAACGAAGACGAACCGGAGAAGAAAAGUGAAGAAGAGCAGAGAUUAAAACAUCAUCUGAUACGAGAAUCUUCUAGAACCCUACCUUCUUUUUUAUGAACUCUCUCAAUCCUUUCCCCGUGACUACCGUCACAUGUCUUAAGCUCGGAGAUAUAUGCAGCUGCAUCUCUCUGUUUAUGUCUUUGUUUUCCUCUUUCUUCUCUUAUCUGAAUGUGGGUUUCUUUGAAAGGAGAUGGAUGUCCGAAGAGGAAAUAUUGAUCUUACGUUGUUAUGUAUUGUUUGAUUAUUCAAAAGGGUCUAUGUCAUUCACCUAACCUUGCUUUGUGUUUAGGUUACUAAUGGCAGAUCGUAUCUGAUUUCCUGUUGUUCAUUUUGUCUCAGGUGAUUUGGCAAGGAAGAGCCCAAGAUUCACGGUUAACAGAUGAGAGCUAAGAAACAGAGGAUGUCGACCAUUGACACCAGAAGAGAUUGAUUCAUUCCUUUUACCUCCAGGGUCUUGAAGAAAACAACACGGGCUGAAGCAUUAAGCAUAGAAACAAGGGGUUAUUGUUUAUUUCUUCAACUCUAUGACUAUGUUCUUUACUGAACGAUAUUGGAUUCAAAAGGUCUGACUUUUCUUAAAAAAUGUAUCUUCGCGUACAGGGACCUGUGUGUUUGUACAUGCUGAGCAUUCUAUUGACUCGCCACUUGCUAGGGUAAUCUGUAUAAAUACAGAAAAUAUACUUCUAUCACAGCCUAAUUGGCGCGAACAAGCCCUUAGUCGUGCGGAUACUUCAAUCCGAAGUGGUUCGGUUGAUGUUAUUGUUGCUGACAGUGUAAUUUAGGAGCACUUGAGUAUAAGAUGGGUGAUGCUCAUAUGAUUAUCCAAGCCGCUACGUGUCUUGAACUUCAAAGCAUGGUAGUAUUGAAAAGAAAAGGCUCGCCAAGGUAAUAAAGAAAACAGUAAAAACUCGAGGAAGAGACGUCACUAACCAAUCUCAGAGUCAGUACGUUAGAGCAGAUACCAGAUUAUGAAAGAGUGUUUUGUGGAGAAGAUAGCUGGAGUCAUUGUAGAAUUUGUAAUCAGCGGAUGAUAACACAUCGUGGUCUGGUUUAAAAGAAGCUAAAUGAGAAACUAUCUAUACCAAAGGCGUGGAGAUUCUGCAGAUGAGGAGAGUAAGAGGAACUCUGCAAGUGAUGGGCCAGCGAAAGCUAAGCGCCCAAGAUGUGAGAAGUAGAGCUCCCAUUCAUCUUCUCACUUAUUGCAUGCUUCAAUGAUGUUUAAGUCUUUUUUCAGUUUAAGUAUUGACUUAUGAUUUCCUUUCAGUUUUUUUGCUUUUCAGUGUUUUUUUUCCUUGAAACAUUUUAUCUACUUUGCAUGAUUAGCAGCUAAAAAUCAUGUUUACUGUUUUAUCACUCUGCUUCAUCAGAAUUACAUUGCUCAGUUUAUUAUUUAUGUCUUCAGAAACAGGUUCUAUUGUA